CGCGAGAUAAGGGCUAAUAAAACGCUUGAGGUGGCGUUUUGAGGACAUGGCAUGAAGAUGGUUCUACAUUGUCUGCAUUGGAUGGCAUAAACAACAUUGGUGGAAAGCAGCGAGAAGGUCUGCCAGAUGGGAGUUUGCCAAGUUGAAGAUGUAUUUGAGCAGAGAAGUUGGCCUGGUCGGAUGGAAAGAGAGCGGCUACUUCAUGCUUGAUAGUACGGAGAAAGCGUUUGGAGUAACCGCGGGGCCUAAGGGCCUCAAAAAGGGUCCUAGUAGCCUCCACUACAUGUAAAGAAGACUAUGGUGUCCAAAAAGGGGACCUGCUGGAGAUGAAGAGUAUGUUUAAGUGUGAUACGGGGGUGGUGUGAACUAAGAAUGUGAAUAAAGUGAUUUAAUUCUG